GAUGAACGCUGGCGGCGUGCCUAAUAUAUGCAAGUCGAGUGAAUGGAUUAAGAGCUUGCUCUUAUGAAGUUAGCGGCGGACGGGUGAGUAACACGUGGGUAACCUGCCCAUAAGACUGGGAUGACUCCGGGAAACCGGGGCUAAUACCGGAUAACAUUUUGAACCGCAUGGUUCGAAAUUGAAAGGCGGCUUCGGCUGUCACUUAUGGAUGGACCCGCGUCGCAUUAGCUAGUUGGUGAGGUAACGGCUCACCAAGGCAACGAUGCGUAGCCGACCUGAGAGGGUGAUCGGCCACACUGGGACUGGGACACGGCCCAGACUCCUACGGGAGGCAGCAGUAGGGAAUCUUCCGCAAUGGACGAAAGUCUGACGGAGCAACGCCGCGUGAGUGAUGAAGGCUUUCGGGUCGUAAAACUCUGUUGUUAGGGAAGAACAAGUGCUAGUUGAAUAAGCUGGCACCUUGACGGUACCUAACCAGAAAGCACCGGCUAACUACGUGCCAGCAGCCGCGGUAA
rnacentral:rRNA from 1 species